rnacentral:lncRNA from 1 species
CAACAGACAUAUAUCUGGCGGAGAUUGGAGAUGGAUCAAAAACGGAAAAAUGACCAAGAUGACAUACUUUGCGUUUGACGGAUCGUCAUGUACCCAAAAGACUGUUUGUGUGUUACUUCAUGGUCAGAAACGAUUUAGCUUAUCUGACGAUUAUUGCGAUUCCUACUCUAUAGGUUUCAUCUGUGAAAAAUAAAUUUAAUACAAUAGCGG